rnacentral:tRNA from 1 species
GGCUCUAUAGCUCAGUUGGUUAGAGCGCCAGUCUAGUAAACUGGAGGUCGCGAGUUCGAAUCUCGCUUCUUCUG